rnacentral:rRNA from 1 species
CCUACGGGUGGCAGCAGUGAGGAAUAUUGGUCAAUGGGCGCGAGCCUGAACCAGCCAAGUCGCGUGAGGGAGGACGGCCCUACGGGUUGUAAACCUCUUUUGCCGGGGAGCAACGGGCGUCACGUGUGGCGCCACUGAGAGUACCCGGAGAAAAAGCAUCGGCUAACUCCGUGCCAGCAGCCGCGGUAAUACGGAGGAUGCGAGCGUUAUCCGGAUUUAUUGGGUUUAAAGGGUGCGUAGGUUGUUUUUUAAGUCAGCGGUGAAAGUUUGUGGCUCAACCAUAAAAUUGCCGUUGAAACUGGAGGACUUGAGUGUGUGUGAGGUAGGCGGAAUGCGUGGUGUAGCGGUGAAAUGCAUAGAUAUCACGCAGAACUCCGAUUGCGAAGGCAGCUUACUAGGCCAUAACUGACGCUGAGGCACGAAAGCGUGGGGAUCGAACAGGAUUAGAUACCCUGGUAGUC